rnacentral:rRNA from 1 species
CCUACGGGUGGCAGCAGUGGGGAAUAUUGCACAAUGGGGGAAACCCUGAUGCAGCGACGCCGCGUGAGUGAAGAAGUAUCUCGGUACGUAAAGCUCUAUCAGCAGGGAAGAAAAUGACGGUACCUGACUAAGAAGCCCCGGCUAACUACGUGCCAGCAGCCGCGGUAAUACGUAGGGGGCAAGCGUUAUCCGGAUUUACUGGGUGUAAAGGGAGCGUAGACGGCAGCACAAGUCUGGAGUGAAAUCCCGGGGCUUAACCCCGGAACUGCUUUGGAAACUGUGCGGCUGGAGUGCAGGAGGGGUAAGCGGAAUUCCGAGUGUAGCGGUGAAAUGCGGAGAUAGGCGGAGGAACACCGGUGGCGAAGGCGGCCAACUGGGCGUUAACUGACGCUGAGGCUCGAAAGUGUGGGGAGCAAACAGGAUUAGAUACCCCAGGAGUC